rnacentral:rRNA from 1 species
AGUGAACGCUGGCGGUAGGCCUAACACAUGCAAGUCGAACGGCAGCACAGUAAGAGCUUGCUCUUACGGGUGGCGAGUGGCGGACGGGUGAGGAAUACAUCGGAAUCUACUUUUUCGUGGGGGAUAACGUAGGGAAACUUACGCUAAUACCGCAUACGACCUACGGGUGAAAGCAGGGGAUCUUCGGACCUUGCGCGAUUGAAUGAGCCGAUGUCGGAUUAGCUAGUUGGCGGGGUAAAGGCCCACCAAGGCGACGAUCCGUAGCUGGUCUGAGAGGAUGAUCAGCCACACUGGAACUGAGACACGGUCCAGACUCCUACGGGAGGCAGCAGUGGGGAAUAUUGGACAAUGGGCGCAAGCCUGAUCCAGCCAUACCGCGUGGGUGAAGAAGGUCUUCGGGUUGUAAAGCCCUUUUGUUGGGAAAGAAAAGCAGCAGGUUAAUACCCCGCUGUUCUGACGGUACCCAAAGAAUAAACACCGGCUAACUUCGU